rnacentral:tRNA from 1 species
UGGGUUGUAGCAUAACGGUAAUGCACUUGUUUUUGGUACAAAAGAUUGAAGGUUCGAAUCCUUCCAACCCAGCCA